AACGAACGCUGGCGGCAUGCCUAACACAUGCAAGUCGAACGAUCCCUUCGGGGAUAGUGGCGUACGGGUGCGUAACGCGUGGGAACCUGCCCUUAGGUUCGGAAUAACUCAGAGAAAUUUGAGCUAAUACCGGAUAAUGUCUUCGGACCAAAGAUUUAUCGCCUUUGGAUGGGCCCGCGUUGGAUUAGCUAGUUGGUGGGGUAAAGGCCUAACAAGGCGACGAUCCAUAGCUGGUCUGAGAGGAUGAGCAGCCACACUGGGACUGAGACACGGCCCAGACUCCUACGGGAGGCAGCAGUGGGGAAUAUUGGACAAUGGGCGAAUGCCUGAUCCAGCAAUGCCGCGUGAGUGAUGAAGGCCUUAGGGUUGUAAAGCUCUUUUACCCGGGAUGAUAAUGACAGUACCGGGAGAAUAAGCCCCGGCUAACUCCGUG
rnacentral:rRNA from 1 species